rnacentral:rRNA from 1 species
UCCAUGAAGCUGGAUUCGCUAGUAAUCGCGCAUCAGCCACGGCGCGGUGAAUACGUUCCCGGGCCUUGUACACACCGCCCGUCAAGCCAUGGAAGCCGGGAGUGCCUGAAGUGCGUGAGCGCAAGCAGCGCCCUAAGGUAAAACCGGUGACUGGGGCUAAGUCGUAACAAGGUAUC